rnacentral:rRNA from 1 species
GACGAACGCUGGCGGCGUGCUUAACACAUGCAAGUCGAACGGGAUCUAGUAGACAGAAGCCUCGGCUAAAGAUUACUAAUGAGAGUGGCGAACGGGUGAGUAACGCGUGAGCAACCUGCCUAUGACAGUGGGAUAGCCUCGGGAAACCGGGAUUAAUACCGCAUAAAAUCGUAGAAACACAUGUUUUAACGGUCAAAGAUUUAUCGGUCAUAGAUGGGCUCGCGUCUGAUUAGCUAGUUGGCGAGAUAACAGCCCACCAAGGCGACGAUCAGUAGCCGGUCUGAGAGGAUGAACGGCCACAUUGGAACUGAGACACGGUCCAAACUCCUACGGGAGGCAGCAGUGGGGAAUAUUGCACAAUGGGGGAAACCCUGAUGCAGCGACGCCGCGUGAACGAAGAAGGUAUUCGUAUCGUAAAGUUCUGUCCUAUGGGAAGAUAAUGACAGUACCAUAGAAGAAAGCUCCGGCUAAAUACGUG